GUCUAUAGCUAUACUAUCCUAAAUGUGCCUGAUCUCAUCUGAUGUCAGAAGCUAAGGAGGAUCGAUCUUGGCUAGUAUUUGGAUGAGACAAAUCACAAAUGACUUAUAAUCC
rnacentral:rRNA from 1 species